GAACGGGUGAGUAACACGUGGGCAAUCUGCCCUGCACUCUGGGACAAGCCCUGGAAACGGGGUCUAAUACCGGAUAUGACUGUCCAUCGCAUGGUGGAUGGUGUAAAGCUCCGGCGGUGCAGGAUGAGCCCGCGGCCUAUCAGCUUGUUGGUGAGGUAGUGGCUCACCAAGGCGACGACGGGUAGCCGGCCUGAGAGGGCGACCGGCCACACUGGGACUGAGACACGGCCCAGACUCCUACGGGAGGCAGCAGUGGGGAAUAUUGCACAAUGGGCGAAAGCCUGAUGCAGCGACGCCGCGUGAGGGAUGACGGCCUUCGGGUUGUAAACCUCUUUCAGCAGGGAAGAAGCGAAAGUGACGGUACCUGCAGAAGAAGCGCCGGCUAACUACGUGCCAGCAGCCGCGGUAAUACGUAGGGCGCAAGCGUUGUCCGGAAUUAUUGGGCGUAAAGAGCUCGUAGGCGGCUUGUCACGUCGGUUGUGAAAGCCCGGGGCUUAACCCCGGGUCUGCAGUCGAUACGGGCAGGCUAGAGUUCGGUAGGGGAGAUCGGAAUUCCUGGUGUAGCGGUGAAAUGCGCAGAUAUCAGGAGGAACACCGGUGGCGAAGGCGGAUCUCUGGGCCGAUACUGACGCUGAGGAGCGAAAGCGUGGGGAGCGAACAGGAUUAGAUACCCUGGUAGUCCACGCCGUAAACGGUGGGCACUAGGUGUGGGCAACAUUCCACGUUGUCCGUGCCGCAGCUAACGCAUUA
rnacentral:rRNA from 1 species